GGUUGUUCUGUUAUGUCUUGUCCUGCCACUUGUGUGAGUCUGUCUUUUUCCAACUCCUGAGGCAAUAGCAGGUCUUUUCCCACCGGUCACCCCAGCACUCCUUUGGGUAAAGUAUUUAAGAGCUAAAUUUGUUGGCCUGUUUGGGUCUAUUGGGGACUGAAGGUAUAUCCACAUUAAGAGAAAGUUACUCAGUAACUAUUUCAACCACUUCUUCACAGAGAAAAACAUCUGUGCCUUUUUAAAUUUUUAUUGGCCUGCUUGACAGCUCCACAACACAGUGAAGAAGGAGCCCCACCUACCACAAGGUUCUUCAUCCUGCUGGGGAAGCCACACAGAGUUGAGACCAAAACGUAUGGAAGGAAGGAAGUGUUAUUUGGGAGGACAGCAAGAAGAGGAUAGCUGGCAAGAUUACAUCCUACCACAUAGGCCAGUCUGGAGAUGAAAAGGACCCUAAGAAAUGAAUUGUACAAAGAUUAACAAACGCGAACCCUUUGCUGGAGUUUACAUUGUAAUACAGACCCUUCAUGAUGUGGCCAGGCAUGUCAAGGCCAUACAGACAAGAGAAGACAAACAUUCAGCCUAGAUAUGGAGAGGCAGCUGAAUAUUUACAUUACCCAACAGAGCAAAGAUCACUAUAUCCAACUUUCUAUUCAACAUCUAGACUUGAAUGUCCCAUGGGUACCAACAUGCCUGAAGCUGAACUCAUCCUCAUUCUUUGAUCUCAGAAGAUAUCACCAUCAUCAACCCAGCUGCCCAAGUGAAAAUUCUGGGAGUCAACCUCUAUUCCUUCUUUCUCCCACUUCACAUUCAGUCAGUCAUCAAGUCCUGCCAAUUAAUUCUCCUAAAAAUUUUUAAAAUCCAUUCACUUCUCUCCAUCCUCAUUGCAAAUGCCAUUCUUACUUCAGGCCCCCAAGUUCAGACCAACUUACUGAACUCCCUGCCUCUAAUCUUGCCACCCUCUCUCAUCUCCAAUUCAAUUGGUCACAUUGCAAAAGAAUGCCAUUGAUUUUUUUCCACACAGAUCUGAUCUUAUCACCUUUGUUUAAAACACUUCAAAGGCCUUCAAGAAAAAAAUUAAACUCUUUAACAUGGUUUUCAAGGCCCUUCAUAAUCAGAUCUUGCUUUGACAGUUCUGUGUAAUGAUUAGACUUGAGCAAGACUGGCUGGGUUCAAAUCUCAGCUUUAACGCUUUUAGUAGCUGUGUAUCUUUGAGCAAGUUAACCUCCCUGUACUUGAGUUUUCUGAUCUAUAAAAUGAAGUAAUUACAAUGCCUACCUUC